GCGGAUGCCUAACACAUGCAAGUAGAACGGGAUCACCGGAGCAACCGUGGGCGUGAGGGGUAAACCGGGGAAAUCUGCAUUGGAACGUGGACUAUCAGGCUGGAAAGACUGGUCAUAGCCGCCUA
rnacentral:rRNA from 1 species